GACAGAGGUGGCAAGCGUUGUUCGGAAUUACUGGGCGUAAAGGGCUCGUAGGCGGCUAACUAAGUCGGACGUGAAAUCCCUCGGCUUAACCGGGGAACUGCGUCCGAUACUGGAUGGCUCGAGUUUGGGAGAGGGAUGCGGAAUUCCAGGUGUAGCGGUGAAAUGCGUAGAUAUCUGGAGGAACACCGGUGGCGAAGGCGGCAUCCUGGACCAACACUGACGCUGAGGAGCGAAAGCCAGGGGAGCAAAC
rnacentral:rRNA from 1 species